GACGAACGCUGGCGGCGUGCUUAACACAUGCAAGUCGAACGGAAAGGCCCUGCUUUUGUGGGGUGCUCGAGUGGCGAACGGGUGAGUAACACGUUAGUAACCUGCCCUUGACUUUGGGAUAACUUCAGGAAACUGGGGCUAAUACCGGAUAGGAGCUCCUGCUGCAUGGUGGGGGUUGGAAAGUUUCGGCGGUUGGGGAUGGACUCGCGGCUUAUCAGCUUGUUGGUGGGGUAGUGGCUUACCAAGGCUUUGACGGGUAGCCGGCCUGAGAGGGUGACCGGCCACAUUGGGACUGAGAUACGGCCCAGACUCCUACGGGAGGCAGCAGUGGGGAAUAUUGCAAAAUGGGCGGAAGCCUGAUGCAGCAACGCCGCGUGCGGGAUGACGGCCUUCGGGUUGUAAACCGCUUUCGCCUGUGACGAAGCGUGAGUGACGGUAAUGGGUAAAGAAGCACCGGCUAACUACGUG
rnacentral:rRNA from 1 species